UACUAAAAUAAAUAAUUUUUAGCAAACUCUGCUCAAUGAUACUUUAAAUAGCCGCAAGAUAUUUAUUGUGCUAAGGUAGCACAGUCACUAGCCUCUCAAUUGGAGGAUAGAAUGAAAGAGAUUACAUUUCAAUUAAUUUAUUAAUUUCACAUCUCUAAUUUAAUUUAAAUAUUAAAAAAUAUUUAUCCCACAGAAAGACGACAAGACCCUAUUGAACUUUACUUUAGUUUAACUGGGGCAGUUAAUUAAUAAAAAUUUUAAUUAAAAUAAUUUAAUAUAUCGACCUAAUAAAAUCAUCAACUACAAGAAUAAGUUACCAUAGGGAUAACAGCGUAAUUAUCUUCUAAAGUUCUUAUUUAAAAGAAUGUUUGCGACCUCGAUGUUGAAUAUUUACUCUUAUAGAUGCAGCCACCUAUAAAGAAAGUCUGUUCGACUUAUAAAUCUUUACA
rnacentral:rRNA from 1 species